UACAGAGGUCCCAAGCGUUGUUCGGAUUCAUUGGGCGUAAAGGGUGCGUAGGCGGCGCGGUAAGUCGGGUGUGAAAUCUCGGGGCUUAACUCCGAAACUGCAUUCGAUACUGCCGUGCUUGAGGACUGGAGAGGAGACUGGAAUUUACGGUGUAGCGGUGAAAUGCGUAGAUAUCGUAAGGAAGACCAGUGGCGAAGGCGGGUCUCUGGACAGUUCCUGACGCUGAGGAGCGAAAGCGUGGGGAGCGAACAGG
rnacentral:rRNA from 1 species